rnacentral:rRNA from 1 species
GACGAACGCUGGCGGCGUGCUUAACACAUACAAGUCGAACGGAAAGGCCCUGCUUUUGUGGGGUGCUCGAGUGGCGAACGGGUGAGUAACACGUGAGUAACCUGCCCUUGACUUUGGGAUAACUUCAGGAAACUGGGGCUAAUACCGGAUAGGAGCUCCUGCUGCAUGGUGGGGGUUGGAAAGUUUCGGCGGUUGGGGAUGGACUCGCGGCUUAUCAGCUUGUUGGUGGGGUAGUGGCUUACCAAGGCUUUGACGGGUAGCCGGCCUGAGAGGGUGACCGGCCACAUUGGGACUGAGAUACGGCCCAGACUCCUACGGGAGGCAGCAGUGGGGAAUAUUGCACAAUGGGCGGAAGCCUGAUGCAGCAACGCCGCGUGCGGGAUGACGGCCUUCGGGUUGUAACCCGCUUUCGCCUGUGACGAAGCGUGAGUGACGGUAAUGGGUAAAGAAGCACCGGCUAACUACGUG